UACGAGAGGCCCAAACGUUAUUCGGAAUUACUGGGCUUAAAGAGUUCGUAGGCGGCGCAGAAAGUAGGGUGUGAAAGCCCUCGGCUCAACCGAGGAAUUGCGCUCUAAACUACUGUGCUUGAGGAAGCUAGAGGUGAGCAGAACAGAUGGUGGAGCGGUGAAAUGCGUAGAUAUCUGGAGGAACAUCAGUGGCGAAGGCGACACCCUGGACUCAUACUGACACUGAGGUGCGAAAGCGUGGGGAGCAAACAGG
rnacentral:rRNA from 1 species